rnacentral:ncRNA from 1 species
CCUUUUAGUUUGCUUUUACUUAAAAGAAUGGCCCAGCUAACUACUGAUAACACAAGCAAAGAUUGCUCUAGCUUGUUCCCUGCCAGGCUACUCAGCUUAUGUGAAUAUGUGACCUACAGUAGUGCAGGACUUAAGGCUCCAGGUGCAAGGGGACAGUGUCAAGUGGGGAGUCACACUAGGGCAGUAUACUGGCCAAACCAAAAUGCAGCCUCUGAGGCUGAGUCCAGGGAAGAUGGAAAUCUCCUGUGGAGCAGAAAAGCAAAGCUCACCUGAUUUUGAUUUUCAGAGUUUUUGAGAGAUAGAGACCUGAUGAUACUUUUGACUUUUUGUUUAAUAAGCAGGAGGUGUUGUAAAAGUUACCACAGGGAUGGCAGGGAGGCCAAAUAUUUAUAAUAACAGAAAAUUGAAAAUUUAAAGUUUUAAAGUGCUUUUUUAUCUUUGUAUCUGCUCUUCUUUUCAGUGUAAGGCAAAAUUUGUUGAGCUCUGGGUUGUGCCCCUGCUAACAAGGAAUGUGACCUGGCUUUUAACUGUUGUAAGAAUGGUUGGUU